rnacentral:rRNA from 1 species
UACAGAGGUCCCAAGCGUUGUUCGGAUUCAUUGGGCGUAAAGGGUGCGUAGGUGGCAUGGUAAGUCGGGUGUGAAAUCCCGGGGCUCAACCCCGGAACUGCACUCGAUACUGCCGUGCUCGAGUACUGGAGAGGAGACUGGAAUUUACGGUGUAGCAGUGAAAUGCGUAGAUAUCGUAAGGAAGACCGGUGGCGAAGGCUAGUCUCUGGGCCGAUACUGACGCUGAGGAGCGAAAGCGUGGGGAGCGAACAGG